UAUGGUUGAUAUUUACUAGCGGGGCAAUGAAGGAGGUUCCUGAUAGAGUUCUCAGGACGGUUCGAGUGAGUAUAUCUACUCGGGAGAAGUUCGAUGAGAAGAGAGUUAAGAUCGGUAUUCUCGUGGUAGGAGACCAGGACGGAUUCGAACAUAUUCGUCAUGUCCGGACUAAAAACUAUAUUUUCGGCGAGGAUGAUCAAAUCGUCAAUUUUGACGAUUUGUUGUGUUUUGACGCGUUGAACGACAUGAAAACACGGAGUAGAUUUUUGUCUGGAGAAAGUCGUGAGAGUUUAAAGAUCCUUGUAACAAUUACUCCGUUGCAUAGAGCUGGGUCUUUAUCUAUUCCUUGAACAUGGAAGAUGUAUACGUCUAGCUGUGAGAUUUACGUUGCCAAUUCGACACAUUAAUAUAGGUGUCUCAUGAAAAAUGACAGCUAACAGGCGGCUGAAGGAUCGUCUUCGAUUUUUCUAAUUAUUUGUGGCAUUUGUUCGUCAACCUUCUUGUGAUACUGGAAUUUGGAAAGCACUGAAAAGGCAGACCACAUGUUGGAAAUUCCAUGUCUUUGGAUAUUUUGGGAUUAUUAAAUCAAGAAUUUUAUUUUUAAAUGAGGUUGACGAAUAAAUGCUGCAUUUUUGUACCAUCAUAGACGAUCUUCAGGUUGUCUUUCAAUUGUCAAAUUUCAUGGAACACCCAUCAGAUGAAACCUAGCAUUUUUUCAACAUUUCAAAUAAAGUAUUAGGGUUUCAUGGAGCAGUUCAGUUUAGGCCAAAAUAUGAUAGUUUAAUGUUUACUAUAUUUACCAGUGCAGAUUUUCUUCAUAAUUGUUGUUAAUCAUUUUGUUUUUAGAUUAAGCUUUUGUUGUAACGUAAAUUCAAGGUUGAAAUAUAAAUUCAGAAAUUA
rnacentral:misc_RNA from 1 species